GAGAAAAUUAAAGCUUAAUACCUUCAGAAGUGGGGGGAGAGAAUAUCUGAAGUUUUUUUUUUUUUUUAAAUGACCUUUCCUUGCAUAAUUUCGGAGGUAACCUAGCUGCGUAAUUAUAUUUGCACUUACAGAACGCUGCAUCACAGUCCCCUUAUUGGUUUGAAAUUCCAUUAAAUAUAUUGCAGAGCUCCUAGGUUAAGCUUGAUUUAAAUUUGCAUACAUUUUCAUAUAUUUAGCAGAAAUAAAAGAAGGCUUGCAGCUAACCGAAAGUCAUUAAGGCAUUAAGUUCUCUAGGAAGACAGAUCAGGAGAAAAAUUCAAGAAAAUGAAAAUACCUCCUUAAACAAGGAGCAAAAUCCUCAUUUGUUGAGCUGCUGCAUUAGAAAUUAUCAUCAUAACCAAGUCAACAUCUACUUUUCCUGCUAUAUAUUCUAGUCUUUCCUUGAUGUUAUGAUUGCAGUUUUGUUCUUGUUUUUCAA
rnacentral:lncRNA from 1 species